AACAUCAGAUUGAAAGCUCCAAAACAAUUAUAAAAACAAGAAAGAAUAGUGAUCUUUCAACCUGUUGAA
rnacentral:sRNA from 1 species